UUAAAAGUAUGACUCUUUAUCAUUCGCUACGACUUUAUUAAAAAACAAAAAACAAGAAAGCAAAGAUACCAGAAAUUCUUUUCAUAGGGAAAAAACCACUAAGAAAUCCUUGAUGAGUGGACAACAACAUAGACACCAAUGCAUAUUGAAGGGAUACAAAAAUUAAAGUGGAGAAGGUGCUUGAAGGUUUAAGUCCUGUCAUAACUGCUGAAUGGAUGAAUCCUGGGUCAUGCCAUCCAAAAUCCUUGGCAGGACUUGGAACAUCAGCAGUACCUGUUAUUUUCGGAUGGAAUAUAUAAUCAUAAUUGAAUCUGUGCUUGAGAGAUGUCCAUAAAGUGGCAUCUUAGGAUUUUCAAACUUUAUAGGUAUGGACCUUGCUACCAAGCAGGGGCUCAGAUAUCCACCAGUGAAGAAUGCAAACUCAAUCUCACUUCUAAUGUUUACAACAUGAAACUUUAGUGAACCACUGCACCCUUUAUGUUUGCAACUCAGGUACUGUGGAUCAUUUUUCAUAAAUUGUGCCUGCAUUUUCAAUGUACAACAUUACUACUAC